AAUAAAUCAAUGAAUGAAAGCACAGAAAUAAAACAAUAAAGUUGAAAGAUUUUCAAAGUCUUCUUUGCUUUUCCAGGAAGGCAAUAGUCAUUGUGCAUAAAGUAUUUUUCAAUUAAUUUGAUUUAAAUGUCAUCCACUCAUUCCUUCUUCUUCCAGACACAGAAACCUAAGGUUUUGAUUAGGAAAUCAUUGUUCCCUUCCUCUCAGGCCAUGUGGAUUAAAUAAGGCUGACUCCAUCCCUCACUUCCACGGGUAUAAAGAAGACCCAAGUCAAAUUAAAAGAGUGAGCCUUGAGAUUUUUGAGGGUACUACUGGAGAAAAAGGAUUUAUCUUUCUAUUGGGGUUGCUGAGUUGGUAGAAUGAGGCCUGAAGCUGUUGAUGGCCAUCUUACUUCCACAUAGGGAGAGCUUUCCUGAGAAUGAAGACAACACAAAGAAAAGCAGAGCCAGGAAUUACAGAGUAUGUGUAGGAGGAUUGAGGACAAGACUCCAAUUAAGAGAUCCUUCCUAGACUCUCUCCAGCCAUUGCUCCAUCCCAUAAAGCCAGGAGGAAAUUGAUCGCUUGGCACCUACAUUCACGAUGACCCACUUCUCCAAAAAUUUCACCAUUGGAUGGCCUCUCUUGUCACGACACCAAGGCCUCAGAGGUAUGAAAAACACAGACCUCACCCAGAAGAAAAAGCUUAUCCUCUUUCAGAACGCAUGACUAUAUGUCAAGAUAAUGAUCUUCAGCUCUGCUAUGAGGAAACAUUUACAAGCAGCCCCUCCAGAAUCACAAAAUCUACUUUGCCAGACAUUCCUGGUCAGGGAGGGAACUGGAGAAUCUCUUUCCUACAUGACUUUUACAUUCUUUUGGUUCUGAAAUAUGAAACUUACAAAAUUUAAAUUUCAUCCCCAAAUUCCUAAAUGCCUGUGAGGUGGACCCACUGGGUUGACUUCUUAUGGGCAGUACUGGCCCUUUGGCAAGAGCUGAGCCACCUUCAGGUGAAGCUGCUCUCUCUUUGAGAAACAUGGAUGUUCCACUUGGAUGGGAAGCUCUGGGAAGAUAUUGUAAAACUUACUUAGGAAAUAACCACAACCCUAAUACCAUGGACACACAACAGUCCACUUGGCAGAACACCUACCUGAGGAAUUACAGAAAAAAACCUCCUAAUAUUCUGCUAAACAUUUGAAAACCUAGCUCUAUCCAAAAAGAUCCUAUGAAUAUAUAGACACACUUUUGCACACAGACACAGACACACACACACAAACACACACGUAUUUCUUCAAGCAGAGUAGAAAACGGCAAAGUGAAUUUUUCUGGUCUGGGAAUUUUUACAAAAAUUCUUACAAAGAUGUAAAAAUUAAGUCCCAUUCAGUUCAACUCAUCCAGAAUUCUCUUUAUUGAAAAUAAGAAAUGUAGAGGAAAUUAGGACUGUCCUAGAAGUCCUUGGGAUACAUGCACGGUUAUAUCCAUGGGGUAUUGCAUCCCAUAUAGGAAGGAUGAGAGGCAUAAAAAUGAAGCCAGGGCUUGGGUCCUAUCCUCUUAAAGCAAAUAGAAAUCUCACUAGACACUUAAAAAUCCACAAUUCAUUAAUGCUCAAUCAAUUAUUUGAGCUACAAAAUGCUUUGACUGUCUGCAGGGCUAUUUGCAAAAUUAAUGCCUCAUGACUAGAGAUACCCAGUAUACACAAUAGUCUUCUCUUAAUAACCUAUGAGAUAACUUUAAUCCCAGGAAAAGGAAGACACAAAUACAGUCAUGUGCCUGUGAUCAAAGACAGACCGCAUAGAAGAUGAUGAUCCCAUAAGAUUAUAAUGGAGCUGAAAAAUUCCCAUCACCUAAUGAUGUCUUGAUGAUCCUGACCCUGUGUAGAUCUCGGCUAAUGUGUGCGCACGCGCGUGUGUGUGUGUGUGUGUGUUUCAUAGUUUUUAACAAAAAGGUUUAAAAAGUAAAAAAUAUAAAAAUGUUUAAAAGUAGGAAAAAGCUUUUAAACUAAGGAUAUAAAGAAGGAAAAUUUUUGUAUAACUGUACAAUGUGUUUGUGUUUUAAACUAUGUGGUUACAAGAGUCAUAAAAUUAAAAAAAGAUUAAAAGUAAAAUGGUUGCAG
rnacentral:lncRNA from 10 species